GAUGAACGCUGGCGGCGUGCCUAAUACAUGCAAGUCGAGCGAACAGACGAGGAGCUUGCUCCUCUGACGUUAGCGGCGGACGGGUGAGUAACACGUGGAUAACCUACCUAUAAGACUGGGAUAACUUCGGGAAACCGGAGCUAAUACCGGAUAAUAUAUUGAACCGCAUGGUUCAAUAGUGAAAGACGGUUUUGCUGUCACUUAUAGAUGGAUCCGCGCCGCAUUAGCUAGUUGGUAAGGUAACGGCUUACCAAGGCGACGAUGCGUAGCCGACCUGAGAGGGUGAUCGGCCACACUGGAACUGAGACACGGUCCAGACGCCUACGGGAGGCAGCAGUAGGGAAUCUUCCGCAAUGGGCGAAAGCCUGACGGAGCAACGCCGCGUGAGUGAUGAAGGUCUUCGGAUCGUAAAAUUCUGUUAUUAGGGAAGAACAAAUGUGUAAGUAACUAUGCACGUCUUGACGGUACCUAAUCAGAAAGCCACGGCUAACUACGUG
rnacentral:rRNA from 1 species